UACGUAGGGUGCGAGCGUUAAUCGGAAUUACUGGGCGUAAAGCGUGCGCAGGCGGUUUUGUAAGCCAGAUGUGAAAUCCCCGGGCUUAACCUGGGAAUGGCAUUUGGGACUGCAAGGCUGGAGUUUGGCAGAGGAGACUGGAAUUCCCGGUGUAGCAGUGAAAUGCGUAGAUAUCGGGAGGAAUACCGAUGGCGAAGGCAGGUCUCUGGGCUAUAACUGACGCUCAUGCACGAAAGCGUGGGGGAGCAAACAGG
rnacentral:rRNA from 1 species